rnacentral:rRNA from 1 species
AUUGAACGCUGGCGGCAUGCCUUACACAUGCAAGUCGAACGGCAGCACGGGUGCUUGCCCCUGGUGGCGAGUGGCGCACGGGUGAGUAAUACAUCGGAACAUGUCCUGUAGUGGGGGAUAGCCCGGCGAAAGCCGGAUUAAUACCGCAGACGAUCUAAGGAUGAAAGCGGGGGAACUUCGGGCCUCGCGCUUUGGGGUUGGCCGAUGGCUGAUUAGCUAGUUGGUGGGGUAAAGGCAUACCAAGGCGACGAUCAGUAGCUGGUCUGAGAGGAAGACCAGCCACACUGGGACUGAGACACGGCCCAGACUCCUACGGGAGGCAGCAGUGGGGAAUUUUGGACAAUGGGCGAAAGCCUGAUCCAGCAAUGCCGCGUGUGUGAAGAAGGCCUUCGGGUUGUAAAGCACUUUUGUCCGGAAAGAAAACCUUGGCCCUAAUACGGUCGGGUGAUGACGGUACCGGAAGAAUAAGCACCGGCUAACUACGUG